rnacentral:rRNA from 1 species
UUUGUUACUUCAAACCAAUCGGACUUCGGUCUGACAUCAAGUGAUAUUGAACAAUUUAGCUGAUCGCACGGUCUAAGAACCGGCGACAUACCCUUCAAAUGUCUGCCUUAUCAACUUUCGAUGGUAGAUUAUGCGCCUACCAUGGUUGUAACGGGUAACGGAGAAUCAGGGUUUGAUUCCGGAGAGGGAGCCUGAGAAACGGCUACCACAUCCAAGGAAGGCAGCAGGCACGCAGAUUACCCACUCCCGGCACGGGGAGGUAGUGACGAAAAAUAACAAGCUGGUCUCAAUGAGUUCCAGCAUUGUAAUGGGAACAAUUUAAAUCUUUUAUCGAGGAUCUAUUGGAGGGCAAGUCUGGUGCCAGCAGCCGCGGUAAUUCCAGCUCCAAUAGCGUAUAUUAAAGUUGUUGCGGUUAAAAAGCUCGCAGUUGGAUCUAGGAUUAGGGCUACGGUCGUUCAGCUUGGACGUACUGUAUGCCCGACUCCUUUUCUCUAGUAUUCGAUUGUUGCUCUUAAAUGAGUGACUUUAGUUGCUGGAACUUUUACCUUGAAAAAAUUGAAGUGCUCAAAGCAGGUU